CUUUAUCUUUAUGGUAAAUGUGAGAUGCAGUGUAUGGAAUGUUCAAUUUCUAUCAUGAGAAAUUAACGAUUUAAGUCCUUCUUAAAUGAGGCCAUUUAUCCAUAGAGGGUGCCAGGCCCGUAUAACGUUAAUGAUUGAUAGAGAACAUUUCCAAAGAGUCGUGUUGCUUGAUAGUGCAGCACUAAGUGGGUGGUAAACUCCAUCUAAAACUAAAUAUAACCAUGAGACCGAUAGUAAACAAGUACCGUGAGGGAAAGUUGAAAAGAACUCUGAAUAGAGAGUUAAAUAGUACGUGAAACUGCUUAGAGGUUAAGCCCGAUGAACCUGAAUAUCCCAUAUGGAAAAUUCAUCAUCAUGACAAUGGUAUUUAUCAUAUUGUUGUAAUGGUGUGCAUUUUUUCCAUAUAAGGACAUUGUAAUCUAUUAAUAUGACAUAAAUUUAUCAUAAGAUCAAUGCUAAAAGUUUAUUCAAAUUAUUUUGCUUGCAAUUUAACAUAGAAUAAGUGGUAUUGAUUUGAUAAAGUGUUGAUAGAUUAAUAAUGUAUAGUGCUUGAAUACUUGUAUUCUAUAAUAUCAUGAUGAUCAUUGAUUAUUAUGUUUAUUAUAUGCACUUAUACGAUUAACAAUGCGAAAGAUUCAGGAUACCUUCGGGACCCGUCUUGAAACACGGACCAAGGAGUCUAACAUAUUUGCAAGUUAUUGGGAAUUAAAAACCUAAUAGCGAAAUUAACAUAACUUGAUAUAAUGGGAUUAGUUUUUAGUACU
rnacentral:rRNA from 1 species